AUUGAACGCUGGCGGCGUGCCUAACACAUGCAAGUCGAGCGGUAACAGGUGUAGCAAUACAUGCUGACGAGCGGCGGACGGGUGAGUAACGCUUGGGAAUCUGCCUGAUAGUGGGGGACAACCCGGGAAACUCGGGCUAAUACCGCAUACGCACUACGGUGGAAAGCCGGGGACCGCAAGGCCUGGCGCUAUCAGAUGAGCCCAAGUCGGAUUAGCUAGUUGGAGGGUAACGGCCUACCAAGGCGACGAUCCGUAACUGGUCUGAGAGGACGACCAGUCACACCGGAACUGAGACACGGUCCGGACUCCUACGGGAGGGCAGCAGUGGGGAAUAUUGGACAAUGGGCGAAAGCCUGAUCCAGC
rnacentral:rRNA from 1 species